rnacentral:rRNA from 1 species
UAGGGAAUCUUCCGCAAUGGACGCAAGUCUGACCGAGCAACGCCGCGUGAGUGAAGAAGGUUUUCGGAUCGUAAAGCUCUGUUGUUAAGGAAGAACGAGUGUGAGAAUGGAAAGUUCAUGCUGUGACGGUACUUAACCAGAAAGGGACGGCUAACUACGUGCCAGCAGCCGCGGUAAUACGUAGGUCCCGAGCGUUGUCCGGAUUUAUUGGGCGUAAAGCGAGCGCAGGCGGUUAGAAAAGUCUGAAGUGAAAGGCAGUGGCUCAACCAUUGUAGGCUUUGGAAACUGUUUAACUUGAGUGCAGAAGGGGAGAGUGGAAUUCCAUGUGUAGCGGUGAAAUGCGUAGAUAUAUGGAGGAACACCGGUGGCGAAAGCGGCUCUCUGGUCUGUAACUGACGCUGAGGCUCGAAAGCGUGGGGAGCGAACAGG